rnacentral:lncRNA from 10 species
UCACUGCCCGGGGCCGCCAGCGCCGGCCGGCCGCUCGGAGUGUGGGGCCCGCCAAGCCCACGCCCACCCGGAACUCUCGCUGGUCCGCAAGCGCCGCGCGCAGCCCUGGUUCCCGCCCAUGCCUCUCCCUCCACACCACCCCGCAAGCUGAGGGAGCGGGUUGCGGCCUUGGCCAGUCCAGAAAGGGGCUCCCACAGUGCAGCGGUGGGCUGAAGGGCUCCUCAAGUGCAGCUGGAGUGGGCACCAGGGCCGAGGAGGUGCUCAGAGCGAGUGAGGGCUGCGAGGGCUGCCAGCAUUCUGUCACCUCUCAUCAUGAGAUCGGAUGGAUUUAUCAGGUGUUUCCAGUUUUGCUUCUUCGUCAUUUUCUGUCUUGUCGCCACCAGAUAAGAAGUGACUUUCGCCCUCUGCCAUGAUUGUGAGACCUCCUCAGCCACGUGGAACUUCUUUGAGUAUGCUCAGCGCGUGCCAUCAUGGGGCCAUGUUCUUCCCCUUUGCUCUUGGAGAAUAGACAAAGCUACCCAGCCCAGCCACAGCCUCAUAAUCUUGUUCUACCUCCCUCUCCAGCCUCAACUAUUUCCAGGCUCCAGCUCAAGUCAUACAUCAGGACCUGCAACCGGUGAUUGAACUACCAGUUUCUGAAGGCCACCCAUUCACACCUAUUUCCCGCUACUCCAGGCUAUCUGCAGCUGGAGGAGGCCGUGAGUCACCGUUUUGAGCCUAGAGAUGUAAACAGAAGUUGCUGGGAAGAGCUUCUAGGAAGCCUCUGUAAGAUGAUUAUCUCAGUUGGGUCUGUCUUUUUGCUUUGUCCAUCCCUUUUUUAACUUUGGAGUGUGCGUGUGAUACAGGAGGUGAAGCAGUCAUUUUGUGACUAUGAGGAGAUAAAGCCACAUGGGUAAGUUGGCAGAGCAGGACACUGGGAGAAGCAUGUGCUUCUGUUGGCAAUGAGGGAUCAUCAUACUAUUCCUAAACAGUCUAAGUCCUGAGGUCUCGUGUGUGUUCUUACUUGUUCAUUACUCUACUUUUUCAGGUUGUAUAUUACUUACAGUUCAAUACAAUCUAAACCUUAACCAGUCAUUCUCCUAGUUAGACUGUGAGCUCCUAGAGGGAAGUUUGGCAUGUGAUAUGUUUCUUAUGGUCCCUGCAGUAUCUAGCACGUGCUAGUAGGGAUCAGGUAUGCAAUACUCAUCUAUUGAUUGAUUUGGGAUACAGUGAGUUGAGGUAAGAGAGAAACAGAAGUCAACUCCAACACGUCAAAGAAUAAAGUUUGCUGUUGGUCUCAACAGCCCCAGGGCAUCUUUACUGCAGUGUGAUCUCUCUCUCCUAUCCAGUGAGGCUCCAAAAUAUGGCUUUAAUUAUCCUUCCUAAGUUUUACAAAAUUCACUGAGCUUUUGUCUUUAAAACAGUAUUCCUUCCCCAUCUCUGGUGUGAAAAAAAAAUUACGACCAGAGUUUUACAUCUUUUUCUUUCCGAUAUUUCCAGAAAAGUAUGCCCUAGUCUAAUUUGCAGGUGGAAAUUGAAAAUGUAUCUCGCUGACCUCAAGGGAUGAUAUUCAGGAGCUUCAGGGAAUCUUCAGCUAAUGGGAGAAGCACAAGCAGAUUAAUGGAUCCCAAAGACAAAAUGCCUAUCCUAGCUCAAAUGACAUCUCGUGGAUCUUGAAAAGUGGAGCUUUCUGUGCCCAUCUUCAGAAAGAGACAUCAGACAAUCUUAACAUUUCUGCAGCUGAACAUGGGAUGAGAAGAGGGCAAUCUUCCAGUGGGUCCACCACAUUUUCUUUCCAAUUGAGCCAAUUCAUGGUCUCUUCUGGCAACUGCAAGGCCAGAUGUGAAUUUACCACUUUAUUGAGUGAAGCGGUCUGGGCAUUGUGAGACUCACAUAUGCACCCAGAGGGGAAGGGACCCUCACUCUGGGAAUGGAAAUCAAUUCAUAAUUGUACCCAGACAAAUGGGGCACACACUUCAGAUCUAUUACAGGAUUUAGUCGGAAUCAGAAGAACAAAGGCAUAAAGUAGAAACACAUUCAUAUGCCAGGCACAGGUAGGGGCUGGGGAGGGUAGAAAGUCCAGGGUUCCUGGCCGGCGAAGAAGGGCUCUGCUCAGCAUCUCAUGCUGGAGUGCAAGAGUAUAAAAUAAGGUAACUAAGGACAUGAAGCUUGGCCGCCUGCACCAUUUGAAAAAAGAAAAAUCAAACUGUGUUUUAUGAGUUUUUCUGGCUGAGUGGGCUGAUGGUAAAAGUGAUUGCAUAAGUGAAUAAAUUGAAAUAUGUAUCCUGGUUGUGUCAAAAGCAAAAAUAAUUAUUUUGUUCUUGGUGAGAUAUAGUGUUUAACUGCCAACACAUCAACCCAAAUAAAAAGGAAAUCUGCCUUUAGAUCUAGUAAUACAUUUAUUAACAAAUGAUGUAUCUGAAUUAUCCAUCGUUUUGAUCCACAUUUUGCAGAAAGGCA